CCUCAUCCACCACCCUCUGUCUUCUACCUUUGAGCUAGUUCUGUAUCUAAAUGGCUAGUUCUCCUUGUAUUCAAUGAGAUUUAAUCUUGCUAAAUAGUCUCCCAUGGGGAACCUUGGAGAACGCCUUACUGAAGUCCAUGUAGAUCACGUCCACUGCUCUGCCCUCAUCAAUCCUCUUUGCUACUACUUCAAAAAACUCGGUGUUUUUUGAUAAAUGUCACCAUAAGCUCAAUCCUUGCAACAUAGCCAUACCAUACUCAAUAAGAUCAUCAGAUCAUAUCUCCCCUCAAGUCAAUGUUAUUUCUGAUCUUUUAUAUCAAUUCCAAAUCUGAAAUGGUUGCAAUUGUCAGAAAAAAUGAAAUAAAUUAAUUUCUUUUCUUAAAGUUGAUUUUUUUGUUUUGUACAUACAGUGACUGAUAUUAAAGAAUUUCAGGAGAUUUUCACACUUUUGUAGAGGAUGAUUUGAUUUUCUGAACGUUUCUAUAAGUCAAAAACAUGGAGCAAUGUUAACAUGGUGAAAAUGUCCCAAAAUGCUUCUCUGGAGUUUUACAAAACAACAUUUGAUCUUGAGUCCGAUAAGCGAACACAAAGGCAGGUCACCAAAGCUUAAUUAAGGAGGUACAGAAGAGAUAAGAAUUGGAGCAAUACCGAAACUGCCAAGUGGUAUGAGGCUGGUGAUGGUUACAGAGAUAGGAAGGGGAAUCAAUGGUGUGAGGUGACAAUAGUUAGACUUAAGCCAAUGCUCUUCUCACUUUGUUGUCAUUUUGUGACUACUCAUGUUUUUUGCAUCUGUUCCCAUUCUUUGAAGCUCCACACCCAAUAAGUAAUCAACAAUUUUUAAAUGACAACUUCAGAGAAAAAAAAUAACCAUCAUUCCUAAAUAACAUUAUCCUUCAUUUAGAAAUUCUUAUAGCUAUCCUACCCACCGAUCAGAAGGAUCGCCAACAUAAUAAAACUUAUAAAUUUU